rnacentral:rRNA from 1 species
GAUGAACGCUAGCGGCAGGCCUAAUACAUGCAAGUCGAACGGUAACAGGCCGCAAGGUGCUGACGAGUGGCGAACGGGUGAGUAAUGCAUCGGAACGUGCCCGGUCGUGGGGGAUAACGCAGCGAAAGCUGUGCUAAUACCGCAUACGAUCUAUGGAUGAAAGCGGGGGACCGUAAGGCCUCGCGCGAUUGGAGCGGACCAGGUCAGAUUAGGUAGUUGGUGGGGUAAAGGCCUACCAAGCCGACGAUCUGUAGCUGGUCUGAGAGGACGACCAGCCACACUGGGACUGAGACACGGCCCAGACUCCUACGGGAGGCAGCAGUGGGGAAUUUUGGACAAUGGGCGCAAGCCUGAUCCAGCAAUGCCGCGUGCAGGAAGAAGGCCUUCGGGUUGUAAACUGCUUUUGUACGGAACGAAACGGUCUGGGUUAAUACCCUGGGCUAAUGACGGUACCGUAAGAAUAAGCACCGGCUAACUACGUGCCAGCCGCCGCCGUAACAC